rnacentral:rRNA from 1 species
CCUACGGGAGGCAGCAGUGAGGAAUAUUGCUCAAUGGGCGCGAGCCUGAACCAGCCAAGCAGCGUGAAGGAUGACUGCCCUCCGGGUUGUAAACUUCUUUUAUAAAGGAAUAAAGUGAGGCACGUGAGCCAUUUUGUAUGUACUUUAUGAAUAAGGAACGGCGAACCCCGGGCCAGCAGCCGCGGGAAUACGGAGGAUCCGAGCGUUACCCGGAUUUAUUGGGUUUAAAGGGAGCGGAGAUGGGUUUUUAAGUCAGUUGUGAAAGUUUGUGGCUCAACCGUACAAUUGCAAUUGAUACUGGCAGCCUUGAGUACAGUUGAGGUAGGCGGAAUUCGUGGUGUAGCGGUGAAAUGCUUAGAUAUAACGAAGAACUCCGAUUGCGAAGGCAGCUUACUAAACUGCCACUGACAUUGAUGCUCGAAAGUGUGGGUAUCAAACAGGAUUAGAUACCCGGGUAGUC